rnacentral:sRNA from 1 species
UUGGCAGUCCUGAAAACCGAAUUCCUCUAUUUAUCAACCAACCAGGGAAAAGCAUCAGUGCAGGCUUCACCACACUGCCCUGCCCAUGUGCCUCAACCCUGAGCUGGAGGGGCCACCUCUUGGGCUGAGGGGUGAGUUCUGUCUCCAGGGCCAUUCAGUGCUCAGGCUGUC